rnacentral:lncRNA from 1 species
UAUUUCUUUAUUUAUGUGUUAUCCUUGUUUAUGUUCACUUGAAAGUUCUUAUCUUUAAUUGUGGAGUGAUCAAGUUAAUUUAUCCCAUUGUGCUUUAAGUGAUCAAAUUUAAUCUCUUUAUAAAAAAAAUUCAAUUGCUCAAUUCAGUUAGCAUAAAUUACUUGUUCAAUUGUAAAUUCUUAUCUUUGAUUGAUCAAGUUAAGUCACUAUUAUUUCAAGUGUCCAAAUUUAAGCCUUUUCAUCACAUUAAGGUAUAUUUUCCCACUCUUUUCCAUAAUAAAUUCAAUGUGCAUCCAUUCAUACAAAUCACAUUAACAUUAAACUAAAUCAACAUAUUAGAGUGUAGCCUUAAUUAG